rnacentral:rRNA from 1 species
AAUAUGUGGCAUACGGCUCAGUAACACGUAGUCAACAUGCCCAGGGGACGUGGAUAACCUCGGGAAACUGAGGAUAAACCGCGAUAGGUCAUCACUUCUGGAAUGGGUAAUGACUUAAAUCUAUAUGGCCCCUGGAUUGGACUGCGGCCGAUCAGGCUGUUGGUGAGGUAAUGGCCCACCAAACCUGUAACCGGUACGGGCUCUGAGAGGAGGAGCCCGGAGAUGGGCACUGAGACAAGGGCCCAGGCCCUAUGGGGCGCAGCAGGCGCGAAACCUCUGCAAUAGGCGAAAGCUUGACAGGGUUACUCUGAGUGAUUUCCGUUAAGGAGAUCUUUUGGCACCUCUAAAAAUGGUGCAGAAUAAGGGGUGGGCAAGUCUGGUGUCAGCCGCCGCGGUAAUACCAGCACCCCGAGUGGUCGGGACGUUUAUUGGGCCUAAAGCAUCCGUAGCCGGUUCUACAAGUCUUCCGUUAAAUCCACCUGCUUAACAGAUGGGCUGCGGAAGAUACUAUAGAGCUAGGAGACGGGAGAGGCAAGCGGUACUCGAUGGGUAGGGGUAAAAUCCGUUGAUCCAUUGAAGACCACCAGUGGCGAAGGCGGCUUGCCAGAACGCGCUCGACGGUGAGGGAUGAAAGCUGGGGGAGCAAACCGGAUUAGAUACCCGGGUAGUCCCAGCUGUAAAC